GAUUCUCAAUAAUCUAAAUCUGAGCGAUGUUGAUGUUUUGAUAAAGCAGCGUAUGGUGAUCAUCAUCAUCUUCAUCGAUUGCAUGGGUUUACAGAAUGCCUCAGCUUCGUAGUGGUGUUCGACGUCCUCGUCCUGCUGCUCCUUCUCCUCCUCCUCCUCCUCCACCCAAGCCGGCCACCAGAGGUAGACCCAGAACUAGAUUAGCCGCCGCCAAGAACAUCAACAAAUCAUCCCAGGAGGAGGACCCACCGUUGUUAUUACAACCUGAUACUUUCGUUGUUGAACCUCCCAAGGAGAACAUAGUAAUUGAAGAAGAAGCUGUUGGUGUGAUGGGUGAUGAAAGAGUUGGUCUUAGUGCUAAUAAAGAUAAGGCUGUUGCUGCUGUUCCUGAGGAAGAUGCCAACUCUCCACCUCUUCCAGAAAGGGUACUUAGUUACUUCAUUAUUUCAAUACUUUUGUUUCUUAAUUAUCAUACUUUUGUUUUUGUUUUUAACAACUACUUAUGGAUUUUGAUUUCAAUUUUUAAGGUUCAAGUAGGUGGAUCACCUCUAUACAAGGUAGAAAGGAAACUUGGUAAAGGUGGAUUUGGCCAGGUUUUUGUUGGCCGUCGUGAGCGUGCAAAUGCACCAGGAGCUGUGGAGGUAUGUUUCUCUUUUUUACAUCUGGGGCUCUCUUUGUAUCUUCAAGGUUUUUUUUUUUAUGUUACCUUCUGAUUUGAUUUCUAUUUGUCAUUUCUCAGGUUGCUCUGAAAUUUGAACAUAGAAACAGUAAAGGUUGCAACUAUGGCCCUCCUUAUGAGUGGCAAGUAUACAAGUAAGUACCCUCUUAUUUUUUAAAUUAUUUGAUUCAAGUCAUUAUGUAUUGUGAAAGAGAGCCUUGCCACAACUAUUCUAGUUGUGCUCGUCUGACUAGGAUGUCAUAGGUUUGAGUCAUGCACUCAUGUAUUCGGUCUCCUGCUUAUGCAAGAUAACAGUAUACCUACCUCUACACAAUAGACCCGCAAUGGGUCCGACCCUUCUAUAGAGUCUUUCACGGUGANNNNNNNNNNNNNNNNNNNNNNNNNNNNNNNNNNNNNNNNNNNNNNNNNNNNNNNNNNNNNNNNNNNNNNNNNNNNNNNNNNNNNNNNNNNNNNNNNNNNUAAAAACACUAACAGAAAAUUUUGUAGGAACUAAAAAUUGUAAUUUAUUUUUAUAGAGACUAAAAACAAAACAACAGAUAUUUAUAGGGACCAAAACUUAAUUAAUCCCAUUCUAAAUAAUCAUUUAAAGUCGAUAUAAACAAACACAAUUUAAAAAUAUUAUAAGUUUAUAACGUGACUUAUGUAAAAGGGGAAUAUAUUUGAGAAAAGUAGGGUAAACGCGGAGUAAGAUACUUAUAUGUUACUAAUCUUUGUCUAUUUAACUUACAAAUCUUUCUAUUCAUUGUCAAAACAACAUGGAUACUAAAGAGUUUUUUUUUUUUUUGUUUAAAGUAUCGUGAAAAAACGAAUUCUUGCAGCUUGUUGGGAGCAGACUCCAUAAUAUGGAGAUUUGAACAAUUCAUAUAGGAGUUGGAAUUACCAAAGCUAAUCAACACUCUAAUUCCAUCCGCGUUGAGUAUGGCUAAUAUAGAAGAAAAUGGUAGUGAGUAACAUACAUAUCAACAACCAUUAAAUUGUUUCGUCCGCGUGGGCAGAUGAGUAUUUUAGGAGAAGAAUUUACAAAACGGAAAUGAACUUUUUUUUAUGAAAUUCGAUUCUACUAUUCACGCUAAAAAUUGUUUAAAAGUUCAAGAAUUUAAAUAUAAUUAAAUAAAAUUAAUUUUAAUAAAGACUAAAACUGCACAUUUAGCAGUACUUGAAUGAGAUGACAAAUAAUUUAUCCUGGUAUUAAAUUCGAAUCCGACUUUGAAAAUGCAAAAAUGUUAAAUAUCAUGUGGGGGAGUUUUGCCACUCCAUAACGAUUACACCGAUUCAAUGAUUAAUCUUUACAAUUACGCGCGCAUGAUAAUCGGUUCACAUUAAAAUUGGCGUGGACAUUUUAUUUUUCAGUAGAACUAAUUUAUAAGAUUCAAAUUUUGUUCCUAAAAAAAAAGAAGAUUUAAAUUUUGUAUGGACGGAAAAUAUAUUUAAGAAAAGAAAAGAAAAGGAAAUAAUAAUUAGAUAAGAAAUAUCUAAGUGGAAAGUCUGUGUAGAGGGUAUACCUUGAAUUUAGUUUGCAAGGGGAUCUUGUUACCUGCCUGCCUCCAUUUCUCAACUCACCCUCCUCCCUUCUUCUCUCUUUCUUUCAAUUCAGUUUGUCUCUUCCAAACCCUAUCUAUCUAUCUAUUGAUUCAAACAAAAUCGAUUCUCAAUAAUCUAAAUCUGAGCGAUGUUGAUGUUUUGAUAAAGCAGCGUAUGGUGAUCAUCAUCAUCUUCAUCGAUUGCAUGGGUUUACAGAAUGCCUCAGCUUCGUAGUGGUGUUCGACGUCCUCGUCCUGCUGCUCCUUCUCCUCCUCCUCCUCCUCCACCCAAGCCGGCCACCAGAGGUAGACCCAGAACUAGAUUAGCCGCCGCCAAGAACAUCAACAAAUCAUCCCAGGAGGAGGACCCACCGUUGUUAUUACAACCUGAUACUUUCGUUGUUGAACCUCCCAAGGAGAACAUAGUAAUUGAAGAAGAAGCUGUUGGUGUGAUGGGUGAUGAAAGAGUUGGUCUUAGUGCUAAUAAAGAUAAGGCUGUUGCUGCUGUUCCUGAGGAAGAUGCCAACUCUCCACCUCUUCCAGAAAGGGUACUUAGUUACUUCAUUAUUUCAAUACUUUUGUUUCUUAAUUAUCAUACUUUUGUUUUUGUUUUUAACAACUACUUAUGGAUUUUGAUUUCAAUUUUUA
rnacentral:lncRNA from 1 species